rnacentral:lncRNA from 1 species
GCUUCGUCCAUAACUUUCGCAUACGAGCUCCAUUUUUGUCUGUCUUUUUACCGUUGAGUUCCUAUUAAUGAGAUCUUCAACUCUCAUUUAGACCUCGUUGGCUAAUUCUCAUUCUAUCUCGUAUUUACAAAACUGUAUCGAAUUCGCCGCGCUCGAAAAGUAGGGACUAAGCUUCGUCCAUAACUUUUGCAUACGAGCUCUAUUAUCGACGUUCUUUAUAUCCACGCGUUGGUAUUUACGAGUACUACAACUUUCAUUUAGAUCCCGUCGGCUAAAAAUCGACCGAUCUAAAAUUCAGAUUUCGGGCUGUGCACUGCUAUGCUAAAUCUUAGAAAAAUCAUAACUUCCUCAUACGAAGUCAGAUUUGGGCGUUCUUUUUAUCGAUGUUCUUAGUUUAACAUAUUCUACGACUUUCGUUUAGAUCGCUAAGGCUAAAUCUCGCUCUAUCGUAAAUUCACUAUUUACGCUUCCCGGUAUCGUGCCGGUUCCGUCGCGAAACUUCAACGGGUCAUAACUUCUUCGUUAUAACUCGGUUUUCGGCGUUCUUUAUAUGUACGAAAACCUUGUAACAUACUCUACAACUUGGUUAAGAUUAUUUAUUCUAAAUAAUCUUUUGUCGAAAAGUCGUUUUCGACCCCUAUUGCCUCUAAUUUGACUAGCCCAGAUUUGCGGGCGUUACAAUUAUCUCCCCCUUAGGAUGAUUACGUCCCGGAAUCAUCAACGAAACAGGGUCGUAUAAUGACUCCAUACGUCAUCUCUUCAUCCUAGGUAAUAAUUAUAACUUCUACAUUCCUUCGAUUCUAUCUCUUAAACUCAUUGACUGUAAGAGUACUCGAUCGUGCACCUGCUCUCUACCUCAGGUUAGACUCCAAAUUAUGACCUUCAAGUCACAAUCUCGAUCCUUGCUGGAUACGGACUUGAGAUAAGUUCUUUUAUUACUACUAUAGAUCGAUGUGUCAUAUUCUAAUGACCUAUCAUCGUAUGUUGCAACACUUAGACUUAGGUCUCUUAGAGUUAAAUUCUAAAACAGACUAUGCCUUCCUUCAUGUUCUAAUGUGAUAUAAUCACACUUUAACAUUAGGCAUUUCUAGCCACCAACUUCUUUAACAACGAGUGCGAUACUUCUAUUGAUCGCUUUGAUUUCAACCGUUUGGUUUAAGUCGGACGCUACAUCAAACUUGGUUCUCUGAACCACACAACAUACUCAUCGUAGUCGGACUCGAUUCGAUAUGACCACUAGGGUCGGAAUAUCAACAAUCUUCUUAGUCAUUACCGAAACGAUGGUAACAACACACUUGAAUAAAACGAAAUCAAUUACUAGCUUCUUGGUAACCUUGUGACUUUCCCUGAUCCAAGUGUGAGUCCUGUGCUUCCGGUAGUAUAGGCCUCUACUACCAUUCACACCUACUCAUACUCGUCCCAAGUAUUGUCUCGCAGUUUCCCAAGUCACCAUGCAGCAAAUCACACAAUCAUUCGACACAUCAGAUAACAAAACGAAGGUUUUAUAUUAAUUCUUGAAACGAUUACAUAGGUGUUCAAGUUCACCCUAGACUAUGCCUCUACUAGGCUACAUCAUACGAAACUAUGGCUACUGCAUAAUCCGAUCUUCGGGUAAGAAGUCCUCAUUCUUGAUUCCUCGCAUGGUUCUCUGCUUCGUCGAGGAUCAUGUGAAAUGCCCUUGGCCUUGGUGGCGUUUCUGGUCUUGCUGCUUUAUUUUUCCUUGGGCAGUCUCUGGACAUGUGCCCCUUGCCUCCACAUCCGUAGCAUACUUUGUCAUUAUGUGUGCAGUCUUUGGAAUAGUGACCCGUCCUCCCACACUUGUAACAAGUCACUUCUUCGUUGCACUUCCCACCAUGCUUCUUCUUGCAUUUAUCACACCAUCUUGUUUCACCUCCAUCUGCUCCUCCGAGUUUUGAGAAUUUGCUUUCCUUGUUCGACCUCGAAGAUCCCUCAAACUUUCGCUUCUCUCCUGCCUUAUCUUUUUCUAGACCCUUUUCUCUUAUCUGGGCCUCUACGUUCUUAGCUGCCCUAAUAGCUGCUUUUAAGGUAGUUGCCAUUUUGACCAUUGGACCAAAGUCAGUGGGCAGUCCGUUAGCAAACCUAUCAAUCUUGGAGAGUUCAGUAGGCACCAAGUAGGGAAAUAGCUUCAUCCUCUCGGUAAAUGCGGUGGCAUACUCAUCAACACUCAUCUUCCCUUUCUUCAGGUUCUGAAACUCGUUGUUUAGGUCUAUCAGAUCUACCUCCGAGCAGUACUGCAUUUUCAACUGUUCCAAAAACUCUUCCCACGACAUCCUUAAGGCUUCUCCUCGUGGCAUCGUAUCUGCCAAUAGCUUCCACCAGCUCAAGACUCCAGUUUUCAGCUGUCUUACUGCAAAGACAGUCUUCUGUUUCUCAUUACAGCUGCAGCUCUCAAACACCAUCUCCAUCUCAGAGAUCCAAUCCAUAACCUCAACCGGCUUUGGGCUUCCUGAGAGGCUUGGUGGUUUCGCACCCAAGAAGUUCUUGUACAUCCGCCCAUCCUUGUUGUUUCUCCCUUCUGGGCCAUCCCUUUGCUCACCUUGAGUCCCAACUUGACUCACUUGGCGGCUGUAGUUCCCUUCCUCAGAUUGCUCGGGAAUCAGUUCGGGUUGCUCAAUGGGCAUAGUAGGUUCGUCCCUAUUCAACAUCCGUCUCAUUUCUUCCCUUUGUUCAGCCAACAUAGCCCGAAUCAUGGCUUGAACUCCAGCCAUGGUGACUGGCUCAGGCGCAACUUCUUCUACAACAGGUAUUUGCUGAACCACUGGGGGUUGGUUCCUGUUCCCAUUUGCGUUUACGUUUCCGCUACGGGUCCUUACCAUCUCGAUCUAUACACCGAAUAAGGUGAAUUUAGACCUUUACUUGACGUUUAAAUCAUCCUUAUCACUCCGAAACAUUUACAUGCUAGUUCUAAUACCGUAGUCGUACGUUUAGAAUCCUAAACACAUAAGGUUUCCAGAUCCGGUCGGCAACAGACCAUAGAUCCGAACAAUUAACAACAUAUCAUGCACAAAGCAUUUAGCACAUAAAAGCAUUUUAGGCACAAUUCCUAAAAUAAGCUAGUGCUCACACCUCACAAUCAUCGCUUAGCAUUCUAAGUUUAAGUCUAGAAAUAAAUCCAUAUUCCUAGUUCGCUUAAACUAAUGCUCUGAUACCAACUGUGACAUCCCCAAAAUCACGGCCAGAAAAGACCGAUUUUGUUUAUGCUUUAUAAAAAUCAGAGUACUUCAUUUUAUAAAAAGGUUGCGGAAUUUGUUCCCAGAAAAACAUGGUAAAUACGUUAUUAAAACAUUUUCGAAGAAACGUAUUUAUUUCAUUUUAAAAUGUUUGGGAUGUCAUCGUUAAUACCGAAACAUAAGCAUAAACAGAAUUACAAUGAUUUACACUAGUGAUCUACAUCUCUUUUAAAUCUCUCAGUGUAAUGUCACUUCACUUCGUCACCUGUGAUAUACAUAAACUGAGUGGGUCAGGUUGGGAAACCUGGUGAGUACAUAGGGUUUUCAACCCACAAUAAUAUAAUUAUUAUGUUCAAUCAAACAAUCAACCCAAUUACCCAUCCCCAUUAUCUUCUUUACUCUUUAAGGAUUUAACCUAAGAGUCAUCUAUCCUGCAUUCGUUUAUUCCGAAGUCCCUUACUUCCAGGGUUAUGGGACUGGCACUAAAUCCAUAGCUGCCAAUGUUCGUUCAUAAAGCACUAAUUCCAUAGCUGCUAUAGUCUAUUCAUCGGGUACUAAAUCCAUAGCUACCAGUCUUUAUCUAAUAGGUACUAAGUCCAUAGCUACCAAUGUUCAACAGGUACUAAGUCCAUAGCUACCAAUUCCUACAGGUACUAAAUCCUUAGCUACCAGCGUCUAACUAAUAGGUACUAAGUCCAUAGCUACCAAUUCCCAACAGGUACUAAAUCCAUAGCUACCAACGUCUAAAAGGUACUAAGUCCAUAGCUACCGGUGUUUGUCCCAUAGGCACUAAGUCUAUAGCUGCCAAUGUAUACUCACGUCAUCUUCUAUCUCUCAUCAUUCAUCUACCCAUCUCAUACCCAACAUUUUCGUAUAUAUAAAAUACGUAUACAGUUUAAGUCCUUUAAAACAUGUAUAAAACGUUCAACCAGCAUAGACAGCAAGUAUUCAGAUAAUGUGCACACAUAGCACGUAGUUUAUAUAAAAUACUUCAUAUCUAUGUGUAAGAUGAAAGGGACUAUGCACUCACCUGAAAGGUGGUGAGUCGGCACUCGGACAGCACUUCGUUACUCUUAAAACAAUUAUCCCUUGACGAAACCUAGUAUCAUUACCACUAGAGUUUAGUCUAACGCUUGACGAGACUAAUUUAAUAGUCUAGCUAUUAUUACUAUUAUAUAAGCGUUAAAUAACACUCAAUAUAACUCAUAAUAAUAGCCUAAAUAAUUAUUUUAAGGUCCUAACAAUGUUACUAUAAUUAAAUAAAAUCUAUAUUAAAUAUACUAUAGGCGUAGCUCACUUACAGCGGGUUUUUAUUAAAAACCGGGCUUCGCUGGAGCAGCGUUUCCGAGCCGAAAGCUUUUCUUCUCGGAGCCGUCGGGCGCUCCGGGGCUUUCUUCUCGUGAUAGGGAGGUUCCCUAGACUUGGGAGGGGUUUAGGGAGGUUAGAGAGAAGUUAGAGAGAGAAAGAAAGGCUUAUGGUGUGAAGAAAAUAUGAGGAGUUCACCCUUGUAUUUAUAGGAAGUGUAUAGUAAAGUAGUCUCCAAGCUUCGUCCGUAACUUUUGCAUACGAGCUCCGUUUUUGUCUGUCUUUUUACUGUUGAGUUCCUAUUAAUGAGAUCUUCAACUCUCAUUUAGACCUUGUUGGCUAAUUCUCAUUCUAUCUCGGAUUUACAAAACUGUAUCGAAUUCGCCGCGCUCGAAAAGUAGGGACUAAGCUCCGUCCAUAUCUUUCGCAUACGAGCUCUAUUAUCGAUGUUCUUU